rnacentral:rRNA from 1 species
GCGAGUGAAGCGGCAAGAGCUCAGAUUUGAAAUCGUGUUUCGGCACGAGUUGUAAAUUGCAGGUUGGAGUCUUUGUGGAAGUGCGUGUCCAAGUCCCUUGGAACAGGGCGCCAGUGAGGGUGAGAGCCCCGUGGGAUGCGCAUUGAAGCUCUAAGGCCCUUCUGACGAGUCGAGUUGUUUGGGAAUGCAGCUCUAAGCGGGUGGUAAAUUCCAUCUAAGGCUAAAUAUUGGCGAGAGACCGAUAGCGAACAAGUACUGUGAAGGAAAGAUGAAAAGCACUUUGAAAAGAGAGUGAAACAGCACGUGAAAUUGUUGAAAGGGAAGGGUAUUGGGUCCGACAUGGGGACUGCGCAUCGUUGCUUCUUGUAGGCGGCGCUCUGUGCUCUCUCUGGGCCAGCAUCGGUUUUUGCCGCAGGAUAAGGGGCGUUGGAACGUGGCUCCUCGGAGUGUUAUAGCCAACGCCAGAUGCUGCGAGCGGGGACCGAGGGCUGCGACAUUUGUCUCGGAUGCUGGCAUAACGGCUCAAUACCGCCC